rnacentral:lncRNA from 1 species
CCAGAAGAUUGGAGCAGAUGCUUACAAGCCCCAAUUGCCAGACACGGCCAACAUUCAUCCAGUGUUUCAUGUCUCCCAGUUAUGUAAAGCAGUUGGUCUCACAACGCCCAUUCAGCCCCUUCCACCUCUUCUCAGUUCAGACUUGGAAUGGACUGUGCAACCAGCUUGUGUUCUGGGUAUCAGGCCUAGUCGUGAUCCAGUAGAUAAAAGGACCAGAAGUACUUGUUCAGUGGCAGAAUCUUCCCUUGUUCGAAGCUUCUUGGGAGCCGUUUGAAUUGAUCAACACUUAGUUUCCUGAAUUCCACCUUGGGGACAAGGUGCUUGCAUUGGUGGGGGGUACUGAUAAGCCACCCAUACGUUUCACAUAGAAAAGAAUAAAGAGGCAGAAACAAAAAAUAGAAAGGCAUUCACGGGGUGGGAAAAUCUGUGAAUCACUGAGGAGAGGGGCAGCUCUCUAAACCUGCCAUUUUCACUAUCAAUUGCUGUAAUCAUUCCUUUAAUUUCUUAGUUGAUGAAAUACAUAUCCAUUUCUUUCACUACGAGGCAUUUCCUCUUUAAACUCUCUACUUUGAUUUACUUCUUGCUAUUGUGUUGAGGAUAGGACCAGAUUAUUUUGGAGCAGGUUCUAUCAUAAGCUCAGAAAGAAUACUGCCACUUAUAAAGUACACUUCUCAUGAUAAAAUAAUACAACCAUGUUAAAGCACAACCUGUUGAAAUUCACAGAGGAAACCCGAGAAACUGACAAGGGGCGCCUGUCACUGACACAAAUGAUCUAUCAUUGAGUGAGCUAGCUUCACGACAAGUUGGAGAGAAGCAAUUAAAAUAAGCCUCAUCUUUUAAAACUAUAUAAAUCAAGCCUCUUUUUGUCAUAAUCUAUUAUCCCUAUGCGUUCAUCUCUUUCCUCACCUCCACCUUGUAUCACAUUUUCCACUUUCACUUCCACCUCCACGGUCAC